rnacentral:rRNA from 1 species
AUUGAACGCUGGCGGCAGGCCUAACACAUGCAAGUCGAGCGGAUGAAGGGAGCUUGCUCCUGGAUUCAGCGGCGGACGGGUGAGUAAUGCCUAGGAAUCUGCCUGGUAGUGGGGGAUAACGUCCGGAAACGGGCGCUAAUACCGCAUACGUCCUGAGGGAGAAAGUGGGGGAUCUUCGGACCUCACGCUAUCAGAUGAGCCUAGGUCGGAUUAGCUAGUUGGUGGGGUAAAGGCCUACCAAGGCGACGAUCCGUAACUGGUCUGAGAGGAUGAUCAGUCACACUGGAACUGAGACACGGUCCAGACUCCGACGGGAGGCAGCAGUGGGGAAUAUUGGACAAUGGGCGAAAGCCUGAUCCAGCCAUGCCGCGUGUGUGAAGAAGGUCUUCGGAUUGUAAAGCACUUUAAGUUGGGGGGAAGGGCAGUAAGUUAAUCCCUUGCUGUUUUGACGUUACCAACAGAAUAAGCACCGGCUAACUUCGUG